rnacentral:rRNA from 1 species
UACGUAGGCAGCAAGCGUUGUUCGGAAUUACUGGGCGUAAAGAGUGUGUAGGCGGUGCUCUAAGUUUGGUGUGAAAUCUCCCGGCUCAACUGGGAGGGUGCGCCGAAAACUGGAAUGCUUGAACAUGGGAGAGGAAAGCGGAAUUCCUGGUGUAGCGGUGAAAUGCGUAGAUAUCAGGAGGAACACCUGCGGUGUAGACGGCUUUCUGGACCAUUGUUGACGCUGAGACACGAAAGCGUGGGUAGCGAACAGG